rnacentral:lncRNA from 1 species
AAACUUCUUGCCAAAAGUAAGUAUAUUCACUGCACACAUCUGCCUUAAGAAACUGAUUCUUAGAAACAACAAUUUGAUGAAGUAUAAAAGAGUUUAGCCAAAGGUACAGUAAGGGAAAGAACAAGAAAGAAAAACAAGAAGGCUGUGUUUGGACAGGGUUCAUGAAGAUCAGCCCAAGCACUGAAAAGGUACAGUAGACGAACACCAUUGUAAGACUCCAAUGCAGGAUGAAGGCAAGCGAAACCACCAACCUGAAAUUAUAACUUCAAGGAAUUUGUUCGCACCGACUCAUGAGCUGUAAAAGUGAGUUAGCUUUCCUUUGGGCUCUGCUGUUUCCGCUCUUUGUAAUCUCAAUCAAAUGCUCUAACACACCAUACUGAAGUGCAGCCAAAAUGAAAGAGGAAUUGCUAGACCCCAGCUCAAGAAGAACCGAUGUGGCGCAUUCUUUGUUCUUGGUGGUCCCAUCUCUGAUAAACUCAACAAGAGUUUCAAUGACUGAGAGCUGUCCAAUCUCUUGCCGCCC